rnacentral:rRNA from 1 species
AUUGAACGCUGGCGGCAGGCCUAACACAUGCAAGUCGAACGAAUGGCGUACGGGAUAGUAAUGUCUGGGAAACUGCCUGAUGGAGGGGGACAAGUAAGGGAAACGGUAGCUAAUACCGCAUACCACCAGAUAUGUCCAGAUGGGAUUAGCGUGUUGGUGGGGGAACGGCUCACCAAGGCGACGAUCCCUAGCUGGUGUGAGAGGAUGACCAGCCACACUGGAACUGAGCCACGGUCCAGACUCCUACGGGAGGCAGCAGGGGGGAAUAUUGCACAAUGGGCGCAAGCCUGAUGCAGCCAUGCCGCGUGUAUGAAGAAGGCCUUCGGGUUGUAAAGUACUUUCAGCGGGGAGGCGUUACCCGCAGAAGAAGCACCGGCUAACUCCGUGCCAGCAGCCGCGGUAAUAC